rnacentral:tRNA from 1 species
GGGGCCAUAGCUCAGCUGGGAGAGCGCCUGCCUUGCACGCAGGAGGUCGGCAGUUCGAUCCCGCUUGGCUCCA